GGGUUGUGAGGUUAAGCGACUAAGCGUACACGGUGGAUGCCCUGGCAGUCAGAGGCGAUGAAGGACGUGCUAAUCUGCGAUAAGCGUCGGUAAGGUGAUAUGAACCGUUAUAACCGGCGAUUUCCGAAUGGGGAAACCCAGUGUGAUUCGUCACACUAUCAUUAACUGAAUCCAUAGGUUAAUGAGGCGAACCGGGGGAACUGAAACAUCUAAGUACCCCGAGGAAAAGAAAUCAACCGAGAUUCCCCCAGUAGCGGCGAGCGAACGGGGAGCAGCCCAGAGCCUGAAUCAGUGUGUGUGUUAGUGGAAGCGUCUGGAAAGGCGCGCGAUACAGGGUGACAGCCCCGUACACAAAAAUGCACAUGCUGUGAGCUCGAUGAGUAGGGCGGGACACGUGGUAUCCUGUCUGAAUAUGGGGGGACCAUCCUCCAAGGCUAAAUACUCCUGACUGACCGAUAGUGAACCAGUACCGUGAGGGAAAGGCGAAAAGAACCCCGGCGAGGGGAGUGAAAAAGAACCUGAAACCGUGUACGUACAAGCAGUGGGAGCACGCUUAGGCGUGUGACUGCGUACCUUUUGUAUAAUGGGUCAGCGACUUAUAUUCUGUAGCAAGGUUAACCGAAUAGGGGAGCCGAAGGGAAACCGAGUCUUAACUGGGCGUUAAGUUGCAGGGUAUAGACCCGAAACCCGGUGAUCUAGCCAUGGGCAGGUUGAAGGUUGGGUAACACUAACUGGAGGACCGAACCGACUAAUGUUGAAAAAUUAGCGGAUGACUUGUGGCUGGGGGUGAAAGGCCAAUCAAACCGGGAGAUAGCUGGUUCUCCCCGAAAGCUAUUUAGGUAGCGCCUCGUGAAUUCAUCUCCGGGGGUAGAGCACUGUUUCGGCAAGGGGGUCAUCCCGACUUACCAACCCGAUGCAAACUGCGAAUACCGGAGAAUGUUAUCACGGGAGACACACGGCGGGUGCUAACGUCCGUCGUGAAGAGGGAAACAACCCAGACCGCCAGCUAAGGUCCCAAAGUCAUGGUUAAGUGGGAAACGAUGUGGGAAGGCCCAGACAGCCAGGAUGUUGGCUUAGAAGCAGCCAUCAUUUAAAGAAAGCGUAAUAGCUCACUGGUCGAGUCGGCCUGCGCGGAAGAUGUAACGGGGCUAAACCAUGCACCGAAGCUGCGGCAGCGACGCUUAUGCGUUGUUGGGUAGGGGAGCGUUCUGUAAGCCUGCGAAGGUGUGCUGUGAGGCAUGCUGGAGGUAUCAGAAGUGCGAAUGCUGACAUAAGUAACGAUAAAGCGGGUGAAAAGCCCGCUCGCCGGAAGACCAAGGGUUCCUGUCCAACGUUAAUCGGGGCAGGGUGAGUCGACCCCUAAGGCGAGGCCGAAAGGCGUAGUCGAUGGGAAACAGGUUAAUAUUCCUGUACUUGGUGUUACUGCGAAGGGGGGACGGAGAAGGCUAUGUUGGCCGGGCGACGGUUGUCCCGGUUUAAGCGUGUAGGCUGGUUUUCCAGGCAAAUCCGGAAAAUCAAGGCUGAGGCGUGAUGACGAGGCACUACGGUGCUGAAGCAACAAAUGCCCUGCUUCCAGGAAAAGCCUCUAAGCAUCAGGUAACAUCAAAUCGUACCCCAAACCGACACAGGUGGUCAGGUAGAGAAUACCAAGGCGCUUGAGAGAACUCGGGUGAAGGAACUAGGCAAAAUGGUGCCGUAACUUCGGGAGAAGGCACGCUGAUAUGUAGGUGAAGUCCCUCGCGGAUGGAGCUGAAAUCAGUCGAAGAUACCAGCUGGCUGCAACUGUUUAUUAAAAACACAGCACUGUGCAAACACGAAAGUGGACGUAUACGGUGUGACGCCUGCCCGGUGCCGGAAGGUUAAUUGAUGGGGUCAGCGCAAGCGAAGCUCUUGAUCGAAGCCCCGGUAAACGGCGGCCGUAACUAUAACGGUCCUAAGGUAGCGAAAUUCCUUGUCGGGUAAGUUCCGACCUGCACGAAUGGCGUAAUGAUGGCCAGGCUGUCUCCACCCGAGACUCAGUGAAAUUGAACUCGCUGUGAAGAUGCAGUGUACCCGCGGCAAGACGGAAAGACCCCGUGAACCUUUACUAUAGCUUGACACUGAACAUUGAGCCUUGAUGUGUAGGAUAGGUGGGAGGCUUUGAAGUGUGGACGCCAGUCUGCAUGGAGCCGACCUUGAAAUACCACCCUUUAAUGUUUGAUGUUCUAACGUGGACCCGUGAUCCGGGUUGCGGACAGUGUCUGGUGGGUAGUUUGACUGGGGCGGUCUCCUCCUAAAGAGUAACGGAGGAGCACGAAGGUUGGCUAAUCCUGGUCGGACAUCAGGAGGUUAGUGCAAUGGCAUAAGCCAGCUUGACUGCGAGCGUGACGGCGCGAGCAGGUGCGAAAGCAGGUCAUAGUGAUCCGGUGGUUCUGAAUGGAAGGGCCAUCGCUCAACGGAUAAAAGGUACUCCGGGGAUAACAGGCUGAUACCGCCCAAGAGUUCAUAUCGACGGCGGUGUUUGGCACCUCGAUGUCGGCUCAUCACAUCCUGGGGCUGAAGUAGGUCCCAAGGGUAUGGCUGUUCGCCAUUUAAAGUGGUACGCGAGCUGGGUUUAGAACGUCGUGAGACAGUUCGGUCCCUAUCUGCCGUGGGCGCUGGAGAACUGAGGGGGGCUGCUCCUAGUACGAGAGGACCGGAGUGGACGCAUCACUGGUGUUCGGGUUGUCAUGCCAAUGGCACUGCCCGGUAGCUAAAUGCGGAAGAGAUAAGUGCUGAAAGCAUCUAAGCACGAAACUUGCCCCGAGAUGAGUUCUCCCUGACUCCUUGAGAGUCCUGAAGGAACGUUGAAGACGACGACGUUGAUAGGCCGGGUGUGUAAGCGCAGCGAUGCGUUGAGCUAACCGGUACUAAUGAACCGUGAGGCUUAACCUUACAACGCCGAAGGUGUUU
rnacentral:rRNA from 1 species